rnacentral:rRNA from 1 species
UACGUAGGGGGCAAGCGUUGUCCGGAUUUAUUGGGCGUAAAGCGCUCGCAGGUGGUUCGAUGCGUCGUGCGUGAAAGACCCCGGCUUAACUGGGGAACUGCGUCUGAUACUGGAUGGCUUGAGUUUGGGAGAGGGAUGCGGAAUUCCAGGUGUAGCGGCGAAAUGCGUAGAUAUCUGGAGGAACACCGGUGGCGAAGGCGGCAUCCUGGACCAAUACUGACACUGAGGAGCGAAAGCCAGGGGAGCAAACGGG